CACGAACCGUGCGAACGUUAUUCGGAAUUACUGGGCUUAAAGAGUUCGUAGGCGGCGUGUUAAGUUGGGUGUGAAAUCCCUUGGCUCAACCAAGGAAUUGCGCUCAAAACUAGCAUGCUUGAGGAAGACAGGGGUAAGCGGAACUGAUGGUGGAGCGGUGAAAUGCGUAGAUAUCAUCAGGAACACCGGUGGCGAAGGCGGCUUACUGGGUCUUUUCUGACGCUGAGGAACGAAAGCUAGGGGAGCGAACGGG
rnacentral:rRNA from 1 species